rnacentral:rRNA from 1 species
UUAAAUUGAAGAGUUUGAUCAUGGCUCAGAUUGAACGCUGGCGGCAGGCCUAACACAUGCAAGUCGAACGGUAACAGGAAGAAGCUUGCUUCUUUGCUGACGAGUGGCGGACGGGUGAGUAAUGUCUGGG